GAUGAACGCUGGCGGCAUGCCUAACACAUGCAAGUCGGACGGGAAGUGGUGUUUCCAGUGGCGGACGGGUGAGUAACGCGUCAGAACCUGCCCUUGGGAGGGGAACAACAACUGGAAACGGUUGCUAAUACCCCGUAGGCUGAGGAGCACAAGGAGGGAUCCGCCCGAGGGGGGGCUUGCGUAUUAUUAUCUAGUUGGUGAGGUAAUAGCUUACCAAGGCGAUGGUCAGUAGCUGGUCCGAGAGGAUGAUGAGCCACACUGGGACUGAGACACGGCCCAGACAACAAGGGGAGGCAGGAGAGGGGAAGUUUCAGCAAUGGGAGAAAGCCUGAGGGAGCAAUGCCGCGUGGAGGUAGAAGGCCCACGGGUCGAGAACUUCUUGUCUCGGAGAAGAAACAAUGACGGUAUCUGAGGAAUAAGCAACGGCUAACUCUGUG
rnacentral:rRNA from 1 species